UACGUAGGGGGCUAGCGUUGUCCGGAAUCAUUGGGCGUAAAGAGCGUGUAGGCGGUCCGGUAAGUCCGCUGUGAAAGUCGGGGGCUCAACCCUCGAGACGUCGGCGGAAACCCUCUGGCUAGAGUCCGGAAGAGGAGAAUGGAAUUCCUGGUGUAGCGGUGAAAUGCGCAGAUAUCAGGAAGAACACCCGUGGCGAAGGCGGUUCUCUGGGACGGUACUGACGCUGAGACGCGAAAGCGUGGGGAGCGAACAGG
rnacentral:rRNA from 1 species